rnacentral:tRNA from 1 species
AGCUCAGUGGUAGAGUGCUUGCUUGGCAUGCAUGAAGCCCUGGGUUCAAUCCCCAG